rfam:Nocardiopsis sp. NRRL B-16309 P441contig89.1, whole genome shotgun sequence.
UGAGUGAAGGUGGGGCUGGCGAUUGGGACGAAGUCGUAACAAGGUAGCCGUACCGGAAGGUGCGGCUGGAUCACCUCCUUU